rnacentral:rRNA from 1 species
CCUACGGGAGGCAGCAGUGAGGAAUAUUGGUCAAUGGACGAGAGUCUGAACCAGCCAAGUAGCGUGAAGGAUGACUGCCCUACGGGUUGUAAACUUCUUUUAUAAAGGAAUAAAACGAGGCACGUGUGCCUUUUUUCAUGUACUUUAUGAAUAAGGAUCGGCUAAAUCCGUGCCAGCAGCCGCGGUAAUACGGAGGAUCCGAGCGUUAUCCGGAUUUAUUGGGGUUAAAGGGUGCGUAGGUGGUUUAGUAAGUUGGCGGUGUAAUUUCGGGGCUCAACCUCGGCGCUACCGCGAAAACUAUUAGACUAGAGUGCAGGAGGGGUAAGUGGAAUGCCUGGUGUAGCGGUGGAAUGCGUAGAUAUUAGGAAGAACACCAGGGGCGAAGGCGACUUACUGGACUGUAACUGACGCUGAGGCACGAAAGCGUGGGGAGCAAACAGGAUUAGAUACCCCUGUAGUC